rnacentral:lncRNA from 1 species
CGGCUCCAGCCCACCACUACCCAGAAAAGAAGGAAACAGACAUCAGAGCACCUACCACGGGCCAGGCUCAACAUCGCGCCCCUGACAGGCAUAAGAGGUAGCACUGGGUGAGAGGAGGGCUCUGGAGUCAGGAAGACCAAGGUUUGAGUCUGCACUUCACCUCUCACUAGCUGAGCGACUCCAGCCUGGCAGAAUUCUCAAAUUAAAGACUGACUCACACAGACUGCCAAAUUGGGCAUUCUGAUGAGAAGAAUUCGUCUCUUCAGCUGACACCAAGUAUUGUAAGGACCUAACCAAGGAAAGCCUGGUAACAAUAUUUAUAGAUAUCAAUGAAGUAUGAGGAGUCCUGACAUCAAACUGUCAACAAAGUGUUUGGAGGCCCAAGGUCUCUGAAGGAUAGAAACUUUCAUCUAUCUGGUAUCAAG